GAUGAACGCUGGCGGCGUGCCUAAUACAUGCGAGUCGAGCGAACGGACGAGAAGCUUGCUUCUCUGAUGUUAGCGGCGGACGGGUGAGUAACACGUGGAUAACCUACCUAUAAGACUGGGAUAACUUCGGGAAACCGGAGCUAAUACCGGAUGAUAUUUUGAACCGCAUGGUUCAAAAGUGAAAGACGGUCUUGCUGUCACUUAUAGAUGGAUCCGCGCUGCAUUAGCUAGUUGGUAAGGUAACGGCUUACCAAGGCAACGAUGCAUAGCCGACCUGAGAGGGUGAUCGGCCACACUGGAACUGAGACACGGUCCAGACUCCUACGGGAGGCAGCAGUAGGGAAUCUUCCGCAAUGGGCGAAAGCCUGACGGAGCAACGCCGCGUGAGUGAUGAAGGUCUUCGGGUCGUAAAACUCUGUUAUUAGGGAAGAACAUAUGUGUAAGUAACUGUGCACAUCUUGACGGUACCUAAUCAGAAAGCCACGGCUAACUACGUG
rnacentral:rRNA from 1 species